rnacentral:ncRNA from 2 species
CUACUUUUGUGCCGCAUUGGCUCGCGAACCUGUUCAGGGGAGCGAUUAAAAGGGAAUCAGGUGCAAGUCCUGAACAGUCCCGCUGCUGUGAGUUUCUACACAUUGUAAGAGCAAUUACUCUUGCCACUGACCUAAGGGUCGGGAAGGCGCUGCUUACAGAAACAAGUCAGAAGACCUGCCAUGCCUGCACAAAGGUA